rnacentral:tRNA from 1 species
UGGGGAGUGGUCGAAUGGGUACGACGACGGUCUUUGAAACCGGAUGAUGCAGGUUCGAGCCCUGCCUCCCCAG